UCUUUCUCAAACUCUUUGCUUUCUGUGUUUUUGAGCGAGAAACGAGAAUAGAAAGCGACAAUGGCUUACUCAAGCGUGGUGCUCGUGAUGAUGUUUGCUUUGGUGGCUGGAUCGGCUUUCGCUCAGUCUCCCGCAUCGUCACCGACUGCUUCUCCUACUAAGUCGCCAACGGCUUCUCCUCCGGUGGCCACUCCCCCGUCUCCAACACCUUCUCCAUCCACCACUCCUUCUGCCCCUGCUCCCGCCCCAUCCACCGUAUCAC
rnacentral:lncRNA from 1 species